rnacentral:rRNA from 1 species
UACGAAGGGGGCUAGCGUUGCUCGGAAUCACUGGGCGUAAAGCGCACGUAGGCGGAUCUUUAAGUCAGGGGUGAAAUCCUGGAGCUCAACUCCAGAACUGCCUUUGAUACUGGGGAUCUCGAGUCCGGAAGAGGUGAGUGGAACUCCGAGUGUAGAGGUGAAAUUCGUAGAUAUCGUGAGGAAGACCAGUGGCGAAGGCGGAUCUCUGGACAGUUCCUGACGCUGAGGCGCGAAGGCCAGGGGAGCAAACGGG